GGUAGGAUAGAGGCCUACCAUGGUGGUAACGGGUAANGGGGAAUUAGGGUUCGAUUCCGGAGAGGGAGCCUGAGAAACGGCUACCACAUCCAAGGAAGGCAGCAGGCGCGCAAAUUACCCAAUCCCGGCACGGGGAGGUAGUGACAAUAAAUAACAAUACGGGGCUCUUUCGGGUCUCGUAAUUGGAAUGAGUACAAUUUAAAUCCCUUAACGAGGAACAAUUGGAGGGCAAGUCUGGUGCCAGCAGCCGCGGUGAUUCCAGCUCCAAUAGCGUAUAUUAAAGUUGUUGCAGUUAAAAAGCUCGUAGUUGAAUUUCGGGAUUGGCGCAUCGGUCGUGCCUCACGGGGUAUGAACUGGUGCAGUCAAUUUCUCACCUUCUGGAGAACCGCGAUGUCCUUAAUUGGAUGCCGCGGGGAACCAGGACCUUUACUUUGAAAAAAUUAGAGUGUUUAAAGCAGGCAUUUUUGCUUGAAUACAUUAGCAUGGAAUAAUAAAAUAGGACGGCAUGGUUCUAUUUUGUUGGUUUCUAGGACCACCGUAAUGAUUAAUAGGGAUAGUUGGGGGCAUUAGUAUUCAAUUGUCAGAGGUGAAAUUCUUGGAUUUAUUGAAGACUAACUACUGCGAAAGCAUUUGCCAAGGAUGUUUUCAUUAAUCAAGAACGAAAGUUAGGGGAUCGAAGACGAUCAGAUACCGUCGUAGUCUUAACCAUAAACUAUGCCGACUAGGAAUCAGACGAUGUUAAUUUUUUAAUGACUCGUUUGGCACCUUACGGGAAACCAAAGUGUUUGGGUUC
rnacentral:rRNA from 1 species